CCUCUUCCCGGGUGCCUGUCUACCUUGACAGUGAGGAACAACAGGACAUCGUGUUUGCCUAUCUGAGAAGAGUACUGCAUAGGACACCAACACAACUGAGCUUCACAGAUGAAGUGCAGUUCAUCUGUGGUGUUCUUUUUCCAGAGGCCAUCAUAUAUGCCCUGGCUGUCCUACGGAGUUCAUCCUUGCAGGAGGCUGAGCAGGCCUUCCUUUCUGGUCCAGAUUAUCAUUACAGGAGUUGAAGCCUACAGCCAUUCUGUCCAUGCAGCAACUGAUGGAAAAGGGGGUCUGUUUUUU